CCCUUAGAUGUCCUGGGCCGCACGCGCGCUACACUGAUGCAUGCAACGAGUUUAUAACCUUGGCCUGAAAGGUCUGGGUAAUCUUUUGAACGUGCAUCGUGAUAGGGAUAGAUUAUUGCAACUGUUAAUCUUGAACGAGGAAUUCCUAGUAAACGCGAGUCAUCAGCUCGCAUUGAUUACGUCCCUGCCCUUUGUACACACCGCCCGUCGCACCUACCGAUUGAAUGGUUCGGUGAAGAUCUCGGACUUCGAUAUUUAUUCUUUAUUGAGUUUAUAUUGUGGGAAGUUAUCUAAACCUCAUCAUUUAGAGGAAGGUGAAGUCGUAACA
rnacentral:rRNA from 1 species